UACGUAUUCCAUUCUGUUAAACCACCAAAAAUACUCCCAACUACACCCUUACAAUCAAACAAACUAUUAAAUCAUCAGAAGAUCCAGAAUAAUAAAGUGCAUGCUUAAUUAUCGGAAGAAAUAGAAUCAAGAAGUUGUUAACUCAAUCCUGCAUGCUGAUUUGUAAUUACAGUAGAUUGGAGUAAGGAUUGGAUCCGGCACUA
rnacentral:lncRNA from 1 species